ACAGGUGUGCGUGUGCACUCAGAAGUGAUGGGCCAGGGGAUGUCAAGCAGAAACUUCAAAAUGCACAAAGGGCUAGAAGACUCUGGUAUUUUCUAAACACAGAUGAAUCCAUGAAGACCACCUAAGGAGGAGGAUGAGUGGAGAAGCCAUGUUCAAGGCCCCAGUGUCAAGAUUCUCUAUCACUCGAUUUGUGGACACCCCACACAGCUCAAG